AAUGAAGAUGAGUUCUCUAUGCCUGUCUUGCCCCACGGAGGCAAACCUGGAAAUCACAAGUUGAGAUGCUAAGGUCUCAAAAUAGAGGAAAACCACAUGAACCCCAGAAGCCAUUAACUGAACAGAAAAAGACAAACCUAGGAAGGAAAGGAGAUGGUGGAGGAAGAAAAGGAGACCCAGAUAUAAGCUUUUAGAAAAAAUAGGCUGAGAUGAAGAAAUCUGAGGACCUAAAUGUUAGCGGCUCUAAAACUUAUAGCAACUUAGGUUCAAAACGGGUCAAUAAAAGCAAAUUCUCUCAA